CGAUUGAAUUCCCAGGCAAAGGUUUCCACUUUGGUCUACAUUUCUCUUGGUUACAAUUGAAUAAAUUUUCUCACUUCAAAAUUUUCAUCUUUAGUUCAAACUUUCCCUCUAUCCUUUCUCAUCGAUCGACUGUUUUUGGGUGCUGCCAUAUGCAGACACAAUAAAAGGGAGCAUCUGUUACUUCGAUUCGACUCAUCAUUUAGGUUGGGAACAAGGUCCUCCGGGUGACCAAUUAAUAAAUUCUCCGAAUCAGAUUCUGUUUUUUGGGUGUUGAUCGGCUGUUUUUGGGUGCUACCAUAUGCAGACACAACAAAAGGGUUUGCGACGGUGGUAGCCAAUCAAAGAGCAUAUGAAAAAUAGUAGUGACGAGGACUGGAUAUCUCAACGAGAUGGAAUAAGUGAAAUGAAGCAGGGACGAUUAGCAUUAAUCAUGAAAUUCCAUAUGGAUGGUUCUAGUCAAACAUGGGGUGCAUCGGACACAGUCUCUCUUUUGGUCUUAGUUGUUAUAGGUGUUUUCUGAUUACGCUACUACUUUUGUAGUUGUGACCCUGUCACAUUUUGUUCAGCUUAGUCAGGGACUAUUAUGCAGUAGUUGUUCUAAUGCUUAACCAUGAUAAAACCUCGGUAGUUUUAUAUAAGUAGCUACUUACUACAUGCUACAUUUUGCUGUAAAGUACUAUGGAGGAUGCCCUUACCACAUUAAUAGGGGUGUAACAUCCAUUCUGUCGUAGGAGCACGUACUCUUAUUGAGUUCUGCGAGCAUUGGAAGUUUUUACUCCGAAAAGAAUGUAUCACUUCGUUUCGACCAAAAAAAAA